rfam:Cucumis sativus cultivar 9930 chromosome 7, whole genome shotgun sequence.
GAAUGAAAUGAUGAGCUUUUUUUAUUUGCUUUGAUUGCCGUGAUGAUGGCAACAUUAGUAUUAGCUCUAGCUGAUCAUUC